UGGACGCACACAGGAGGGACACAGUAUUGGGAUCAUGCCUAUGUUAAGAAUAAACUAUUUCUUUGUAAUUAUUAAAUAGAGGGUAAUAAAAACUACCAAGCAAUAAACUGGUCUAAAGUGUAUCGCUCACAGAGCCAAUAGCUGAAGCGGGCAUCUAGAACGCUUAGGAGGCGCUCUUCUUCCUGCUAUUCUUCAAUACUGACUACGAAAAUUGAGAGCACAACGAAGCGUCACCAAGAGCGUCGAGAAAAGGGCAUGCGUAUUUAGAAAAAGUUAAAAACCGAUUUCAAACAAAUAAGCCCUUGUCUUGUGUUGUGAUAUUGGCUCUGAUUCUAUUGGCAACGAAAUUUUAGAGUAUUCGCAUCCUCUACUUAUUAAUGUAUUAUGAAAAGGACAGAUACGAUUUGACAGUUUUAAAUUUAAUUUAGAUUUAUUAAAUUCAAACCUUGUGACUUUAGCUGCCAGUCGCGGUAGAGUGUAUCAAAAUUUAGAAUCUUUGAAUGUAAAAUUCAUGUUCCGUCCUUUUUAGCAAUAUUAAAAGGAGGAGGAUGCAGAUACUCCAAAUUUAGUUUGGAGAAAGACAACAGAAUCGGCGCCAAUAUUUAUCUAAUGUAACAUAAUU